CUGUGUGACCAGAAGGGAUGGAGCCACUUCCCAGCCCUCAGUUAAGAAUUGACAGUGGAGCUAAGGGUAUCUUGCUGAGGAUCCCUGCAUAACUGAGGCCUUCUGACUGUGGAAUAGAUGGAGAGAGAAAGCAUUGGCUGAGUGUAUGGGGCCUGAACCUCUGAUUAAUCACCUGAGGUUUACUUCACAGAACAGUUACACGAGCUACACAGAACAGUGACUCCAGAAUAAGAGGUUUCCUGAGCUCACAUCUCACCUUCCAUCCCUGAACUUGCAGGAGCACAAGCCACUUCAUUAGAAAGCAAAGCUAUGUUUGUGGAGUAUGCUGUUUAACAAUAUUUUCCCCAAAUAAAGGAAAGUAUUAGUUUGUGUCAAAAGGGAUUUUGCUUUGCUGAUCCACUGCAGUGGCCAGGUGUAUUUUCUGAGAACCGGAGGAGAAGGGGCUGUGGAUGUGAUCUGUAAGCAGAAGCAGCUGGUGGCAGGCAAGUCUGUAUGGCUGGGGAGGCCAGCACAGCAUGCAGCAACACCACAAGUUGCUGCAGGAAAUGAGCCAGAAUUGGGUUGAGAGCAGAAGGACAGAGGGGAAGAUAUAUCAAGUAGUGUUUUAAAUAGAUUUUGGAUAUACAAUGUGGAUUAAAGCAGCAAGUCUCAGACCUUGUAUCUUUCUUUCAUCCUCUGAUGUAUAAAAGCUGUUCUAAAUUGUAGCUGACUACUCUUCCCCUUACUUGUCCCUAGACUAUGUAUUCUUUCAGGCAUGCAAGGGAUUUUUGUUUUCUUCCAUUUGGAAAGUCUCUUUCAGCUCAGGAAUGUUGCUUGGCUCGGGAAAGACAGUAAAAGUCAAGAAGGAUUGAACUGUUAUCCCUACAAAGUGAAUUAAAAAUAAUGUGUGCAGUUGUACUUAACACUUUGUGGUGUCUGUCUCUUGUAGCUGAGAUCACAAGUAUGAAGUGAGUGCCCGUUACUGUAAUACAAGCAAGUAAUUUCUCAAAAGGCAGAAGAAAGAACUAGUGUGAGGUCUUGUAACUUCUGCAAAAUUUAAAUUACAAAAUAGGUUUACAGUAAUGCUAUUUUUCAUUCAGUAUUUGAAGCCUCUUGAUCACUGUAGCUUUUUAAUAUUGUAAAUGUUGGCCCAUAGUGACUUCGAACAGGAGUGCCAUAGAUAAGAAAUAAAACAGGAAUUAAACUGUAGGCUGAGCAAAAUCAUUUGUUUAUGUGUGUCUGUACACUUAUAUAAAGUCAGUCUCAACUUGUCUAUAUCUAUAUGGGUUUAUUGUAAUGAGUAUAACCACUUGUCUUUCCGAAUCAUUUUAAAAUGUCUGUAAAUAAUUGUAUGAUUUUAGA